rnacentral:rRNA from 1 species
GAUAAGCGCCGGUAAGGUGAUAUGAACCGUUAUAACCGGCGAUUUCCGAAUGGGGAAACCCAGUGUGAUUCGUCACACUAUCAUUAACUGAAUCCAUAGGUUAAUGAGGCGAACCGGGGGAACUGAAACAUCUAAGUACCCCGAGGAAAAGAAAUCAACCGAGAUUCCCCCAGUAGCGGCGAGCGAACGGGGAGGAGCCCAGAGCCUGAAUCAGCAUGUGUGUUAGUGGAAGCGUCUGGAAAGGCGCGCGAUACAGGGUGACAGCCCCGUACACAAAAGCGCAUGUGCUGUGAGCUCGAUGAGUAGGGCGGGACACGUGGUAUCCUGUCUGAAUAUGGGGGGACCAUCCUCCAAGGCUAAAUACUCCUGACUGACCGAUAGUGAACCAGUACCGUGAGGGAAAGGCGAAAAGAACCCCGGCGAGGGGAGUGAAAAAGAACCUGAAACCGUGUACGUACAAGCAGUGGGAGCACCCUUCGGGGUGUGACUGCGUACCUUUUGUAUAAUGGGUCAGCGACUUAUAUUCUGUAGCAAGGUUAACCGUAUAGGGGAGCCGGAGGGAAACCGAGUCUUAAUUGGGCGUUAAGUUGCAGGGUAUAGACCCGAAACCCGGUGAUCUAGCCAUGGGCAGGUUGAAGGUUGGGUAACACUAACUGGAGGACCGAACCGACUAAUGUUGAAAAAUUAGCGGAUGACCUGUGGCUGGGGGUGAAAGGCCAAUCAAACCGGGAGAUAGCUGGUUCUCCCCGAAAGCUAUUUAGGUAGCGCCUCGUGAAUUCAUCUCCGGGGGUAGAGCACUGUUUCGGCUAGGGGGCCAUCCCGGCUUACCAACCCGAUGCAAACUGCGAAUACCGGAGAAUGUUAUCACGGGAGACACACGGCGGGUGCUAACGUCCGUCGUGAAGAGGGAAACAACCCAGACCGCCAGCUAAGGUCCCAAAGUCAUGGUUAAGUGGGAAACGAUGUGGGAAGGCCCAGACAGCCAGGAUGUUGGCUUAGAAGCAGCCAUCAUUUAAAGAAAGCGUAAUAGCUCACUGGUCGAGUCGGCCUGCGCGGAAGAUGUAACGGGGCUAAACCAUGCACCGAAGCUGCGGCAGCGAACGUAUCACCCAAGACAACUUUACGGAGUUGACGAUUGACGGAGCGAAGCGACGUCAAAGCGUUCAUUAAAGUCGAGUUGGCUUAGGGAUACGUUCGUUGGGUAGGGGAGCGUUCUGUAAGCCUGUGAAGGUGUGUCGUGAGGCAUGCUGGAGGUAUCAGAAGUGCGAAUGCUGACAUAAGUAACGAUAAAGCGGGUGAAAAGCCCGCUCGCCGGAAGACCAAGGGUUCCUGUCCAACGUUAAUCGGGGCAGGGUGAGUCGACCCCUAAGGCGAGGCCGAAAGGCGUAGUCGAUGGGAAACGGGUUAAUAUUCCCGUACUUGGUGUUACUGCGAAGGGGGGACGGAGAAGGCUAUGUUGGCCGGGCGACGGUUGUCCCGGUUUAAGCGUGUAGGUGUGUGUUCCAGGUAAAUCCGGUUCACUUUAACACUGAGGCGUGACGACGAGGCACUACGGUGCUGAAGCAACAAAUGCCCUGCUUCCAGGAAAAGCCUCUAAGCAUCAGGUAACACGAAAUCGUACCCCAAACCGACACAGGUGGUCAGGUAGAGAAUACCAAGGCGCUUGAGAGAACUCGGGUGAAGGAACUAGGCAAAAUGGUGCCGUAACUUCGGGAGAAGGCACGCUGACACGUAGGUGAAGUGAUUUACUCAUGGAGCUGAAGUCAGUCGAAGAUACCAGCUGGCUGCAACUGUUUAUUAAAAACACAGCACUGUGCAAACACGAAAGUGGACGUAUACGGUGUGACGCCUGCCCGGUGCCGGAAGGUUAAUUGAUGGGGUCAGCGUAAGCGAAGCUCCUGAUCGAAGCCCCGGUAAACGGCGGCCGUAACUAUAACGGUCCUAAGGUAGCGAAAUUCCUUGUCGGGUAAGUUCCGACCUGCACGAAUGGCGUAAUGAUGGCCAGGCUGUCUCCACCCGAGACUCAGUGAAAUUGAACUCGCUGUGAAGAUGCAGUGUACCCGCGGCAAGACGGAAAGACCCCGUGAACCUUUACUAUAGCUUGACACUGAACAUUGAGCCUUGAUGUGUAGGAUAGGUGGGAGGCUUUGAAGUGUGGACGCCAGUCUGCAUGGAGCCGACCUUGAAAUACCACCCUUUAAUGUUUGAUGUUCUAACGUGGACCCGUAAUCCGGGUUGCGGACAGUGUCUGGUGGGUAGUUUGACUGGGGCGGUCUCCUCCUAAAGAGUAACGGAGGAGCACGAAGGUUGGCUAAUCCUGGUCGGACAUCAGGAGGUUAGUGCAAUGGCAUAAGCCAGCUUGACUGCGAGCGUGACGGCGCGAGCAGGUGCGAAAGCAGGUCAUAGUGAUCCGGUGGUUCUGAAUGGAAGGGCCAUCGCUCAACGGAUAAAAGGUACUCCGGGGAUAACAGGCUGAUACCGCCCAAGAGUUCAUAUCGACGGCGGUGUUUGGCACCUCGAUGUCGGCUCAUCACAUCCUGGGGCUGAAGUAGGUCCCAAGGGUAUGGCUGUUCGCCAUUUAAAGUGGUACGCGAGCUGGGUUUAGAACGUCGUGAGACAGUUCGGUCCCUAUCUGCCGUGGGCGCUGGAGAACUGAGGGGGGCUGCUCCUAGUACGAGAGGACCGGAGUGGACGCAUCACUGGUGUUCGGGUUGUCAUGCCAAUGGCACUGCCCGGUAGCUAAAUGCGGAAGAGAUAAGUGCUGAAAGCAUCUAAGCACGAAACUUGCCCCGA